rnacentral:rRNA from 1 species
CGGCGAGUGAAGCGGCAACAGCUCAAAUUUGAAAUCUGGCCCCAGGCCCGAGUUGUAAUUUGUAGAGGAUGUUUCUGGCGAAGUGCCUUCCGAGUUCCCUGGAACGGGACGCCAUAGAGGGUGAGAGCCCCGUACGGUUGGUUGCCUAGCCUCUGUGAAACUCCUUCGACGAGUCGAGUAGUUUGGGAAUGCUGCUCUAAAUGGGAGGUAUACGUCUUCUAAAGCUAAAUACCGGCCAGAGACCGAUAGCGCACAAGUAGAGUGAUCGAAAGAUGAAAAGCACUUUGAAAAGAGGGUUAAAUAGUACGUGAAAUUGUUGAAAGGGAAGCGUUUAUGACCAGACUUGGACAGGUUGAUCAUCCGUCGUUCUCGGCGGUGCACUCUGCCUGUCCAGGCCAGCAUCAGUUCGCCCCGGGGGAUAAAGACUUCGGGAAUGUGGCUCCCUCGGGAGUGUUAUAGCCCGUUGUGCAAUACCCUGGGGCGGACUG